AGCACUCACAGAUGCAGAAUCAUUGACUACAGCCAAAUGGAUGAGCUGGCCCUGCUGUCUCUGCGGAAAUCAAUUAUUGCAGCUCCGUUUCUUAGAUAUCAGGACAUCAAGACAGGGACAAUAGUAAAGGUAAGAACUGAAGCAGUUCCUGGGUCCUUCUCCACCUUCAGGGGUCCUUCUUUACAUGUUAACUGUCAGCUCGCUAGUUCUCUGGUUAGUUCCUGUGCAGACAUGUUCCCGCUGUCUAAAACUGAAAUCUCUGCUCUUCCCUUGGAUGACUUAUAAUUAAUUUAAAAAUAAAGUCUUACUAUCCCCACCUAGUGCAGACGGUGGGUCACAAGUCCUGGGGUUGGGGUUUGGUGGCAGCUGCUAGAGCAAACUGAAAGUCAGUUGUGUGAUUUUUGUCAGAGGUGGGUCGUUACGGCUCCUCCUGCCUGUAGUAGUAACUGAGCAGUUCCUUUUUAGGUGGAGUCC
rnacentral:lncRNA from 1 species